GGGGCUCCCGCCUGGCUCGCGGCUGCUGCUGGGGCUCCGUUGGGCGGGGGCGGUGGUCGUGGCCGUGGCCGUGGCCGUGGCCGUGGCCGUGGCCGUGGCCGCCCCGGGAGCUCCUGAGCGCCGGGAGCCAAGUCAGGGGGUCUCUGGGCACUGUGGGGCUCCGGAGUACAGGCGGGAUCCCGUCCUCAGGAAUAAACACCUGGGAGAAGCUAAGAAUUGUCCCCCUCGGAGCUGCAGGAGGAGAGAGAAGCCCUGAGAAGCUGCGGGAAACACAACCCGGUUCUGUUUUCCUUCUGAUAGAGGAAUUGUCAGAGAAACCGUUGAUCUUCACAGAGCGGUUUCCUGAGAUGAUGGCAAAGACCGCGUUCUCGGGUAGCUGAGAGGGUCUCUUGCCUGGCUGCCAGCCACUGUGAAUAACACGUCGCGACUCCCGUCAUGUCUGUGUGGAUCAGCGGGGAACAGCUGCCCUGGGACAAGGUGCAGAGCAGGAGGUGACAUCACUUUGUCGUGGUGGCUUUGCUCUGGCUCUGCUACGUUGUGCCAUCAUCCAGUGCAAGAUGUGCUCAGUUUCCUCACCUGCAAGAUAAAGUUCAUUAUUACAUAAAGCUGAAAGACUUAAGGGAUCAGCUGAAAGGUAUCGCACCAAACACAGAGGUGCAGGAGGUGGAGUAAACAUUUGACUUGCAACUUGCACAAGCAGAGGAUUCUAAAAAGAUGGCUGUCAAAGAAGAAAAAUAUGAUCCGGGUUACGAAGCAGCGUACGGAGGAGCUUCCUGUGACCGUGCGCCAUAUGAAAGUGAACAGUGCCAUUUCUCUUCAAAUGGAAUUGCAAUCAAUCCACAGUGCUGUGAAGGGUCAUCCUUCGGUGAAGUUCCUAAUGGACAAUGGAUGACCCAGUCCUUUGAGGACCAGAUUCCAGAGUUCGGUGCUGGUUUGACACAGGAAGAAGUGGGAAGUGGCGCCUAAGAGCUGUUUCUUCUCAGCCAUUCAUACGUGCUUCAGUGACUGAGAAAGAACUGAGAUUCCAUGCUUGUGCCUGACCAUCUUCUUUCCCUCUUCUAUCAGGAGGAAAGAGAUGAAGUAAAAGCAAAACGCUGAUCAAAACGCGAACAUUUUGGUGAUCUUAUGACAGGUGCUUCACAUACUUGAAAAAUAGAUACAAACAGUAUCUCCGCAAUGUGCACUGGCCAGAGAUUCCUGUACCGGUGUGUUUUAUCCUUUCCUCACAGCCAGUGACAGUUGUCAAGCACUGGGUGUAGCCAGUUAGUGUAGAUUCUAAUCCUGCUGUCACAGCUGUCACUGAGAUCAUGCACUGUUGACCUGGUGUGAGGCAGGCAUGAUGUUUACAGUUUUCUUCCCAAAUUAUGUGGCUUAAUUCUGAGCGUCUUAAAUCAAGAAAGCAUGCAUUAUGGUUCCCAUUGUGUUUAUUAGCGUCAGCCUAAAGCUGUUCAGUAUAUUGUCCAAAAGGUAUAGGAUUUGUCUUGUCUAUUAUUUAUAGUGUACUGUAUCGUGUAUUGCUGUUUACAUGGAUGUUUUCCUGCAGGUGCUCAAAGUAUCUCACAUCAGGGAUUUGUUACAAUUCCAUCUUAUUUUUCAGCAAAACUCGACGGAUGUAAUAAGUACUGCUAAGUAUGUAGCGCAGUAGGAUAUAACUACUGUAAGACUAUCCUGUUUGAUUGGAAGGGAAAGGUCUCUUUAACAGUCAUCUACCAGGUUCUCUAGGUAUCAAAUACAGCAAAGUGUACAAUGACCGUUUCACUAAAUAGUGCAAUCUAUGUGUUCUCCCUCAGAACUGGUGCUUUUUUCAUGACGGUAAUAGAAAAGUUCUUAACCUGUCCUAAAUCUAUCCAUGUUUCACAAUAAAAUCAGGAACUGUA